GGAAUGUGGAUUUCUAGCAAGUUCCAGAAGGCAGAAUUCUAGCAGGGCUCUCCUGCUAUUCAGAAAGUUACAACUGUGCCCUCUCCAGCAAAGUCUGGAUCUCAGCCAGCCCUAAGAGUGUGUCUGUGUCUUGGAGGAGCUCUUUUUGAGAUGCUGUAUCUCAGCCCUAGGGUGCAAGCCCAGAGGCAGUCUAUACCCCAACUCAACUGGCUGGUCCUCAAUGCUGCCUGCUUCCGUGCCCAACUUAGAACUACACAUCUGCUGCCUCUUGGUAACAUGUCAUUAUAAGGCUUCUUCAUCAGCCCUAACCCUGCCAACCACUCCUGCCUCACUGAAUGUGCCAACGGAUUGCUCAGCUCCAACCAAGGAAAAGAAGAAGGAAGUUGGAUACUUUAUACCCUCUACAUUGUCCAUUAGCAACACAACCUAGAGCUAGGAUGGAGAAAGAAAAUGCCAAAAUGCUAAUGAAAAAUGUUCAGAUGUAUCACAUAUUAAGCAUACAUGAUCUCAAAUAUUUUGCCUGAUUUAUGCUAUGCAUGCUAUUUUCCAUGUUGUGUAGGCUCUGAUGCUAGUCUACAUUUACAGAAAUCUCCAUCAGCUGUACAAAUGGCAAUUUAAAUACAUUUAACUAUGUGCUAAUAAUCUCAUAAUACAAUUUAUCAUGUAUGAUUGGCAGAAGAAAUUAUUUGGGGCAAAAGCUAUGAUUGUAUUGUUGUAAGUUAUUAUGAAUGCUGGGCAGUGUAGGGCAUGGCACUUGCUACCACCUCCCAGAAAUGUGUAAGGGCUGUUGAAGGUGCCUUGUUCUUCUUUCUUCUUCAAUAUAAGCAAAGCUAUUUAUAUCAUAAAGCUGAAACUUGAAAUUCCACCCUUGCCUAUUCUUUUUCCUCAGAAAGAUGUCUUUCUUUCUAAGAAUAUAUUGCACUUAAG
rnacentral:lncRNA from 1 species